AUGGUGAAUUACUACAAAGUACUAGGUGUGCCUCAAAAUGCUUCCUCCCCUGAUAUUAAGAAGGCUUAUCACCAGUUGGCUCUGCAGGUACACCCAGACAAGAACCCAGGGAACAAAGAGGCAUCUGAGGAGAAAUUCAAACAAGUAGCAAGAGGCCUAUGAGGUCUUGUCUGAUGCCAGGAAAUGAAAUGAGUAUGACAAGUCCAGAAGGAACCGAACCAAAAGGGAAACAGAGGAGAUGGCAGAGACAAAAAACAUUUGGAGGAGGAACUAUGCAUUCUCAGGAUUCUCAGGUGAUGAUUUUUCCCUUGGCCUUGUGGGUAAAGCCAGGAGAUUCCACUCCUCCAUCUUUGAUGUGGCUCCCAUAUUGGACACAGGAUUUUCCACUUUUUUAUCUCUGGGCUCCAGAGCAAGUACCUCUACCUCUGAGACAUUUGAACCCUUUGUAAGCAGCAGACUGAGAAACUUCAGACUGGUCACCAUUUGUAGCCAGACAGUAAAUGGCAAGAGAGUUGUUACAAAGAAAGUGCUAGAAGAUGUGAGGGGGAAGAAUGAAGCAGAAAAAGACUGUUUCAUGAGAUUCCUCCACAUCAUUGGAAAUUGAUGGAAAAUCCCUGCUAUUGAUGACAAGAAAUGAUGUGUUGACAGGACUUCAGUUAAAAUUGGGGCCUGCUCUGAAAAUCUACGAAUAUCAUGUAAAACCUCUGCAGACAAAGCAUUUAAAGAACAACUCUUCAUAGUACAGUCAAAUUGGGGUCUUCGACCUCAAAAAAUACAUAAUGACAUAAUUUAGUUUCAUGUAAUGAAACUUUGUAAACAGAAUACAUACAUGUGUAUAUGUAAAGAAUUUCAAUCAAAUGAAACGUUAUCCUAUUGGAUAGACUAGGCAAUUCAUCAGCUCACCU
ensembl:lncRNA novel transcript